rnacentral:piRNA from 1 species
UAAGACUGCUUAUAGUGCUUACGGCUU